AUUGAACGCUGGCGGCAUGCCUUACACAUGCAAGUCGAACGGCAGCACGGGGCAACCUGGUGGCGAGUGGCGAACGGGUGAGUAAUGCAUCGGAACGUACCUUUCAGUGGGGGAUAACGUAGCGAAAGUUACGCUAAUACCGCAUAUUCUGUGAGCAGGAAAGCAGGGGAUCGCAAGACCUUGCGCUGAUUGAGCGGCCGAUGUCAGAUUAGCUAGUUGGUGAGGUAAAGGCUCACCAAGGCGACGAUCUGUAGCGGGUCUGAGAGGAUGAUCCGCCAAACUGGAACUGAGACACGGACCAGACUCCUACGGGAGGCAGCAGUGGGGAAUUUUGGACAAUGGGGGCAACCCUGAUCCAGCCAUGCCGCGUGAGUGAAGAAGGCCUUCGGGUUGUAAAGCUCUUUCGGCCGGGAAGAAAUCGCACGGGCUAAUACCCUGUGUGGAUGACGGUACCGGAAUAAGAAGCACCGGCUAACUACGUGCCAGCCGCCGCAGUAAGAC
rnacentral:rRNA from 1 species